GCGGUCAUCGUCUAGUUUGGUUAGGACACUGGCCUUCCAAGCCCGUAACCCGGGACUUUGUCUUUUAAUAAAGACAUAGCGGGAAUUCAAAUCCCGGUGACCGCA
rnacentral:tRNA from 1 species